CCCUGGCCAGCUCAGAAAUUGUGGUAACAGGAAAGAGCCUAGGUUUUUGAAGAAGCAUUCUGCAUCCACUUUUCCACUUCCCCCCUUCCAAAGCUGCUGCAGUCUGGCUUCUGACUUCACACUCGCUGGAACUGUUUAUAGCGAUGGCCCUGCUGACCCUGGAAGCAGAGUUGGCCAAGCGUCCUGAGCACUGAACGUGGUUUC
rnacentral:lncRNA from 1 species